rnacentral:rRNA from 1 species
AAUAUUGGACAAUGGGGGCAACCCUGAUCCAGCCAUGCCGCGUGUGUUAAGAAGGUCUUCGGUUUGUAAAUCACUUUAAGUAAGGAGGUAGGGCUUGAGGCUACUACUCUGAAGUUUUGACGUGACCAAAAGAAUAAGCUUACGAUAACUCUGAGCCAGCAGCCGCGGUAAUACAGAGGGUGCAAGCGUUAAUCGGAAUUACUGAGCGUAAAGCGCGCGUAGGUGGUUCAGUAAGAUGGGUGUGAAAUCCCCGGGCUUAACCUGGGAACUGCUUUCAUAACUGCUGAGCUAGAGUACGGUAGAGGGUAGUGGAAUUUCCUGUGUAGCGGUGAAAUGCGUAGAUAUAGGAAGGAACACCAGUGGCGAAGGCGACUACCUGGACUGAUACUGACACUGAGGUGCGAAAGCGUGGGGAGCAAACAG